GACGAACGCUGGCGGCAGGCCUAACACAUGCAAGUCGAACGAGUGGCGGACGGGUGAGUAAUGUCUGGGAAACUGCCCGCUGGAGGGAGAUAACUAAUGGCAUCGGUAGCUCAUAACGCAUACCAUCGGAUGUGCCCAGAUGGGAGUAGCUAGUAGGUGGGGGAACGGCUCACCUAGGCGACGAUCCCUAGCUGGUCUGAGAGGAUGACCAGACACACUGUAACUGAGACACGGUCCAGACUCCUACGGGAGGCAGCAGUGGGGAAUAUUGCACAAUGGGCGCAAGCCUGAUGCAGCCAUGCCGCGUGUAUGAAGAAGGCCUUCGGGUUGUAAAGUACUUUCAGCGAGGAGGCGUUACUCGCAGAAGAAGCACCGGCUAACUCCGUGCCAGCAGCCGCGGUAAUUC
rnacentral:rRNA from 1 species